rnacentral:rRNA from 1 species
AUGACAGCCGUGUUCAGGCUGGGAGUGGAUUGCACCGUCAAGGAUCGGCAGAAAAGGCCGUCCAAGAAGAUGGCUCUCAAACGUCUCAACCGCUACGGUGGGCGUGCCCUAUUCCAUGGCCUCCCCACCUGCUAUCCACUAUACAUCACCAGUGAGGAUGUAGGCAAAUCGAAUGAGAAAGUGGCAUGUGAGCUCUCCUCAGCUGAUGAACUGCCAUUGGCAGAGUUUAUGUUCAGGGAGGAUGAUCCAGGAGAUCAGAUGGGGGACUUUGCUUUCUUGCUUUGUUUGGCAAGAAAAGCUUCAGGAUGCCCCAACCAAAGCCGAGGGAGGAUCUUGACCUCUACGAGCUGCAAGAGGCAGGGCGGAGGGUUGCGAACGUCCAAAUUGAAUGCAAGGAUGCGGUGA